GACGAACGCUGGCGGCGUGCCUAAUACAUGCAAGUAGAACGCUGAAGGAGGAGCUUGCUUCUCCGGAUGAGUUGCGAACGGGUGAGUAACGCGUAGGUAACCUGCCUGGUAGCGGGGGAUAACUAUUGGAAACGAUAGCUAAUACCGCAUAACAGUAGAUGUUGCAUGACAUUUGCUUAAAAGGCGCACUUGCAUCACUACCAGAUGGACCUGCGUUGUAUUAGCUAGUUGGUGAGGUAACGGCUCACCAAGGCGACGAUACAUAGCCGACCUGAGAGGGGGAGCGGCCACACUGGCACUGAGACACGGCCCAGACUCCUACGGGAGGCAGCAGUAGGGAAACUUCGGCAAUGGACGGAAAGCUGACCGAGCAACGCCGCGUGAGUGAAGAAGGUUUUCGGAUCGUAAAGCUCUGUUGUAAGAGAAGAACGAGUGUGAGAGUGGAAAGUUCACACUGUGACGGUAUCUUACCAGAAAGGGACGGCUAACUACGUG
rnacentral:rRNA from 1 species